AUUGAACGCUGGCGGCAGGCCUAACACAUGCAAGUCGAACGGUAGCACAGAGAGCUUGCUCUCGGGUGACGAGUGGCGGACGGGUGAGUAAUGUCUGGGAAACUGCCCGAUGGAGGGGGAUAACUACUGGAAACGGUAGCUAAUACCGCAUAACGUCGCAAGACCAAAGUGGGGGACCUUCGGGCCUCACACCAUCGGAUGUGCCCAGAUGGGAUUAGCUAGUAGGUGGGGUAAUGGCUCACCUAGGCGACGAUCCCUAGCUGGUCUGAGAGGAUGACCAGCCAAGCUGGAACUGAGACACGGUCCAGACUCCUACGGGGGGCAGCAGUGGGGAAUAUUGCACAAUGGGCGCAAGCCUGAUGCAGCCAUGCCGCGUGUAUGAAGAAGGCCUUCGGGUUGUAAAGUACUUUCAGCGGGGAGGAAGGCGGUGGAGUUAAUAACUUCACCGAUUGACGUUACCCGCAGAAGAAGCACCGGCUAACUCCGUGCCAGCCGCCGCCGUAA
rnacentral:rRNA from 1 species